UUGGGGCGUAAGCGCGCGCAGGCGGUUUCUUAUGUCUGAUGUGAAAGCCCACGGCCUCCCCGUGGAGGGUCAUUGUAAACUGGGGAACUUGAGUGCACACAAAGAAAAGCGAAAUUCCUCGUGUAUCGGUGAAAUGCGUACAGAUGUGGAGGAACACCACGUGGCGAAGGCGGCUUUCUCUUCUGUCUCUGACUCUGACGCGCGAAAGCGCGGGGA
rnacentral:rRNA from 1 species